rnacentral:snoRNA from 1 species
UCUGCCCUUAGAGGCUUUGUAGGUGUGACUGCUGUGACACAUUUGUGUCAGUAGGUAGCAGAGAGAAGAGAGGUUAUGUUUGGGCUCAGUGUUUUGACCCAUGAACAUUCGAAUGAUUAGUAGCCUGACACU